ACCACAUAAAUUUCAAAAGAGAACAGAGGAAUUAAGGAAACUACGGCUAUAAAUAUGCAAAGUGACUUCAGGAUUAAAGCAACAAAUACGGAGGAUUAGACAAACGUACGUUGUUGUAGCUUUUGGUUUUGGAAAGGGAAGCAAUUUAAUUAGCAAAAACAACACAUCACCUAAAGCAAUGAACAGUGGAUUCCCAUUACCAGGUAUCCCGAUCGCUUUUGGGGUAAUUUUUGGCCUCGUCUUAAUUCUUGGUAUCAUCAUGAGUUGCAUCAGGGGUCCUGGAUACUACGGUGGAGGUCAUUCUGGUGGUGGGCAUAUGGGUGGUGGCCAUAUCGGCGAUCACCACCACGCUGGACAUCAUGACAUGACAAUAUUCGAUACUGCUGGAGGCCAUGGUCAUCACGGUGGCGGGGGAGGCACAGGAGGAGGAGGAGGAGGCGGCGGCGGUGUCUAAUAUUUUUUGGCAAACCCUCUCCUUUCUAUCCCUUUUGCAACCCCACUUUUAGCCUUUACGUACUGAAAUAAUUUGUGUUGCGGCCAACUUCAAGGACUAAGAUGUACUCCGGAAAAUGGUUCUCUUGCAUAGCUAGCGCUUAUUUUCGAAAUUAUUUGAGUAGAAUGUCAUGUGAGUGUUUAAUUUAGACAUGUCACGUCAUUCUGAAGACAUUUUUAAGUGCUUGUUGUAAUGGUUUAUUUUUCCACCAAAUGUUAGUAGUAAUUUCUUUUUU